UAUACUCUUUAUUGUACUUAUAAAUCAAGUAUUAAACCUCAAGAAACACUGACUGGGUAAAGUUUUCGUUGCUCAUUUUCCAAUUCAUUCUUUUACUUGUAGGAAUUGUUCAGAAUUGUGACAAUCUGAGAUGUGCGGGAGGUUGAACAGGGAGGCAGCCCAGCAAGGCUGAAGAGACUCAAGUCCACAAAGUACCAUCAAAGCUUGACUGUAGUGAAAUCUUUGCCAUCGUCCUGCAAUACACACAAGGCAGAUCUGUUGUUGGAUUAUCUCAGAAAACUGUUACUCAGUGAGUUGGAAGGUGUAGACACACUCCUGCAACAGCUUGCUUACUUUGAGAACAUCUUCAAGAUGGCUCACAAAUUCACGACAAAGCUGGCAAUGGAUUGCCUCCACUACGGAAGAGACUGAAAGAGAAAAGGCGAGGGUGUGCAACUCCAGGAAUGUGCCCCACUGCUACAACUUGAGGAUGAGGCCACCAUGCAAGUCUAUGUCAGAUUCGCGACACUUCACUCAAGCGAACACUUUCAUAGCCCAAAGUGCCCAAUCUUGAAUUGCCUCGCAUGCUAAAAGGCACUGGACACCUUUGGUAAUUGCCAAAGACCAGGAGUCGAUUUAACAAAGAGUUAGGCCUCAUCUUAUC